rnacentral:rRNA from 1 species
GGAGGAUCCGAGCGUUAUCCGGAUUUAUUGGGUUUAAAGGGAGCGUAGGUGGACAGUUAAGUCAGUUGUGAAAGUUUGCGGCUCAACCGUAAAAUUGCAGUUGAUACUGGCUGUCUUGAGUACAGUAGAGGUGGGCGGAAUUCGUGGUGUAGCGGUGAAAUGCUUAGAUAUCACGAAGAACUCCGAUUGCGAAGGCAGCUCACUGGACUGCAACUGCCACUGAUGCUCGAAAGUGUGGGUAUCAAACAGGAUUAGAUACCCUGGUAGUCCACACAGUAAACGAUGAAUACUCGCUGUUUGCGAUAUACAGUAAGCGGCCAAGCGAAAGCAUUAAGUAUUCCACCUGGGGAGUACGCCGGCAACGGUG